AUUUGAAAUCUGCAGAAAAAGUCUGCCACUCACUUUGUUGUCCACUCUGCUCACAAGAGUUCACAAGUGGCCGUAACUGGUUAAGGCAUUAUAAAAGAGUUCACACUGUGGAAGUGCACAAAUCACAGAAAAGGCAAGCCAACUCCUCAAGUACAUGUGAUCCAUCAAGUGCUUCUUGCGAGGUGAAUGAAUAUGGUGAUGAGUGUAUGCUGGAGAGCAGUGAGGCACCAAAGACUGAGGGAAGUAGGGAAAAGGUUGCCAAGAUCCUCCUCAAAUAUCAUAUCGAGUAUGGGCUGCCAAAGGCUGCAACCUCUCUUUUGGCCAGUGACGUUGGUGAACUGAUAGAUAGAGCUAUCAGGGAGCAGUCUGAAUGUCCGCCUCCUGGGCAGUCAGUAAAAGAUGCAUGCGAAGAAUUUGAGAGUGAAUAUAAAUUGACAAAAUUCUGUCACGAGGACCUUGGGUACAUUGCACCAAGUACCCUGGUUUUCACCUCGGGAGGCAAAGAACAGAAAGCAAGUUAUCAGUAUGUAGAUCUGAAGAAACAGUUGAGGUUUUUGGUUGAGAAUGGUAAACUGGAAGGCUGCAAAGAAAGCAAGGCAAUCAAGCUGGUGAUCUAUUUCGACGAUUUCGGAGUUUGCAAUCCUCUGCGUAGCAAAGCAGCCAACUAUUCCAUAGGUGCUGUGUACUUUGCUGUUGAUGAAGUUUCAACAAUGUCAGCACUCAGUGACAUCUACCUGCUUCUUCUCUGCCCUACCAAACUCAUGAAGGAGCAUGGCAUGGGCACCAUCAUGAAGCCAGUAACUGACUCCCUCAGUGAUCUCGUGGACCAUGGUUUGGACGCUUGCAAUGCGCAUUUCUCCGUUUCUCUGGAGUUUGUCAGUGGAGACAAUCUUGGAAUCCACAAAGUCGCCGGGUUUCAAGAAACGUUUUCGUCGGGACCCCGCCCGUGCAGAACAUGCUAUGCCACUAAUAAUGAGUUCAAUGAGAAGCUCACGGAGGGAGACUUGAUACUGCGCACAGAAGAGCAAUACCGGAAAGAACUGGAUAUGUUUGAAAGCGAAGGAUGCGAUGAGGAAACGAAAGGCACAGGAAUCAAAUCGAAAUGUGUUUUCGACGAAAUCAAAGGAUUUGAGGUCACAUCGAUGUUCCCUCCUGACAUCGCACAUGACCUCUUUGAAAGCGGAGUUGUCACUCAUUGUCUUGCGCUGGUGCUGUCAUACUUGAUAUUUCAGAUGAAGCUCUUCACACUCAGUGCCGUGCAGAAAGCAAUGAAGUCGUUCACAUACACCAGACAGGACCGUGUGAAUACGCCCCCUGUGUUACAUGCAAAGGGGAAAAAGGUCAUCGUGAAAGGCACUUUCAGCCAAUGCUGGACGCUGAUCAGAGUGCUGCCCUUCAUGAUAGGACCACUAGUGCCACGUGAUGAAGAAACAUGGCUGCUAGUGGCUGACCUACUUGGACUGGUGCAACUCAUCUGUGCUCCGCUUCAAAAAUAAAACACUCAAAAGCUGCCAUUUUUACAGACUACCUCCCGCCGGAACCAGAGGAGGACAUGCAAGUUCACAGGAAUCGGCUAAGGCAAGAGGGACUAACCGAGGAAGAGCGGGAAGCGCUGCGAGACUUGACAUUCGCGGACCGCCGUCGACACGCCGUGGCUCUCUCGACGCCAAUGAAGAAGUUCCUGCACAUGUACCCCAUGAUGAAGAAUCACCAAGAGAUCUGGUACGAGCUGGAAAGGAUCAGCGGCGGACAGGGUUCCCGUCUUCAGGAAUACCGGAAGCGAUUGUGCGACUUCCUCACCGCUGUGCAGAUGCACACUGAGUGCGAAGAUGAUGACAAGGUGGAUUCGCUACUGGAAUAUCUCCUGGUGGACCCAAAGGAGAUAUUCGGGUCCGCUGGCAGCCAAACGAUGCCGCACUUCGAGGAGAGCCCGAAUGGUUCUCUGACACUGGUUGUCGAGGGCCAGAGGGUGGUCGAGGACGUGGAAAUGACGCGCAGCGAUGCCCUUCUGCUGUGGGCGGCGUCCUUCCCAGUGUAUAACCAAAAGCCGCCCACAAAAACCGCAAAAAAUGCACUCGCAUUCCUGUCUGAGCAGGUUUUUGAGAAGGCCCGGGGCAGCGUGGUGGUUGGAAACCGCGCCCUGAAGCGUAUUCAGCAGAUCAAACAACUGACUGAAUAAGCCCCUCACACACACACACA
rnacentral:misc_RNA from 1 species